rnacentral:rRNA from 1 species
UGAGGAAUAUUGGUCAAUGGACGAGAGUCUGAACCAGCCAAGUAGCGUGAAGGAUGACUGCCCUAUGGGUUGUAAACUUCUUUUAUAUGGGAAUAAAGUAUUCCACGUGUGGGAUUUUGUAUGUACCAUAUGAAUAAGGAUCGGCUAACUCCGUGCCAGCAGCCGCGGUAAUACGGAGGAUCCGAGCGUUAUCCGGAUUUAUUGGGUUUAAAGGGGGCGUAGGUGGAUUGUUAAGUCAGUUGUGAAAGUUUGCGGCUCAACCGUAAAAUUGCAGUUGAAACUGGCAGUCUUGAGUACAGUAGAGGUGGGCGGAAUUCGUGGUGUAGCGGUGAAAUGCUUAGAUAUCACGAAGAACUCCGAUUGCGAAGGCAGCUCACUAGACUGCAACUGACACUGAUGCUCGAAAGUGUGGGUAUCAAACAGG